rnacentral:rRNA from 1 species
GUAGCGGCGAGCGAACGGGGAGGAGCCCAGAGCCUGAAUCAGUGUGUGUGUUAGUGGAAGCGUCUGGAAAGGCGCGCGAUACAGGGUGACAGCCCCGUACACAAAAAUGCACAUACUGUGAGCUCGAUGAGUAGGGCGGGACACGUGGUAUCCUGUCUGAAUAUGGGGGGACCAUCCUCCAAGGCUAAAUACUCCUGACUGACCGAUAGUGAACCAGUACCGUGAGGGAAAGGCGAAAAGAACCCCGGCGAGGGGAGUGAAAAAGAACCUGAAACCGUGUACGUACAAGCAGUGGGAGCACGCUUAGGCGUGUGACUGCGUACCUUUUGUAUAAUGGGUCAGCGACUUAUAUUCUGUAGCAAGGUUAACCGAAUAGGGGAGCCGAAGGGAAACCGAGUCUUAACUGGGCGUUAAGUUGCAGGGUAUAGACCCGAAACCCGGUGAUCUAGCCAUGGGCAGGUUGAAGGUUGGGUAACACUAACUGGAGGACCGAACCGACUAAUGUUGAAAAAUUAGCGGAUGACUUGUGGCUGGGGGUGAAAGGCCAAUCAAACCGGGAGAUAGCUGGUUCUCCCCGAAAGCUAUUUAGGUAGCGCCUCGUGAAUUCAUCUCCGGGGGUAGAGCACUGUUUCGGCAAGGGGGUCAUCCCGACUUACCAACCCGAUGCAAACUGCGAAUACCGGAGAAUGUUAUCACGGGAGACACACGGCGGGUGCUAACGUCCGUCGUGAAGAGGGAAACAACCCAGACCGCCAGCUAAGGUCCCAAAGUCAUGGUUAAGUGGGAAACGAUGUGGGAAGGCCCAGACAGCCAGGAUGUUGGCUUAGAAGCAGCCAUCAUUUAAAGAAAGCGUAAUAGCUCACUGGUCGAGUCGGCCUGCGCGGAAGAUGUAACGGGGCUAAACCAUGCACCGAAGCUGCGGCAGCGACGCUUAUGCGUUGUUGGGUAGGGGAGCGUUCUGUAAGCCUGUGAAGGUGUACUGUGAGGUAUGCUGGAGGUAUCAGAAGUGCGAAUGCUGACAUAAGUAACGAUAAAGCGGGUGAAAAGCCCGCUCGCCGGAAGACCAAGGGUUCCUGUCCAACGUUAAUCGGGGCAGGGUGAGUCGACCCCUAAGGCGAGGCCGAAAGGCGUAGUCGAUGGGAAACAGGUUAAUAUUCCUGUACUUGGUGUUACUGCGAAGGGGGGACGGAGAAGGCUAUGUUGGCCGGGCGACGGUUGUCCCGGUUUAAGCGUGUAGGCUGGUUUUCCAGGCAAAUCCGGAAAAUCAAGGCUGAGGCGUGAUGACGAGGCACUACGGUGCUGAAGCAACAAAUGCCCUGCUUCCAGGAAAAGCCUCUAAGCAUCAGGUAACAUCAAAUCGUACCCCAAACCGACACAGGUGGUCAGGUAGAGAAUACCAAGGCGCUUGAGAGAACUCGGGUGAAGGAACUAGGCAAAAUGGUGCCGUAACUUCGGGAGAAGGCACGCUGAUAUGUAGGUGAAGUCCCUCGCGGAUGGAGCUGAAAUCAGUCGAAGAUACCAGCUGGCUGCAACUGUUUAUUAAAAACACAGCACUGUGCAAACACGAAAGUGGACGUAUACGGUGUGACGCCUGCCCGGUGCCGGAAGGUUAAUUGAUGGGGUUAGCGCAAGCGAAGCUCUUGAUCGAAGCCCCGGUAAACGGCGGCCGUAACUAUAACGGUCCUAAGGUAGCGAAAUUCCUUGUCGGGUAAGUUCCGACCUGCACGAAUGGCGUAAUGAUGGCCAGGCUGUCUCCACCCGAGACUCAGUGAAAUUGAACUCGCUGUGAAGAUGCAGUGUACCCGCGGCAAGACGGAAAGACCCCGUGAACCUUUACUAUAGCUUGACACUGAACAUUGAGCCUUGAUGUGUAGGAUAGGUGGGAGGCUUUGAAGUGUGGACGCCAGUCUGCAUGGAGCCGACCUUGAAAUACCACCCUUUAAUGUUUGAUGUUCUAACGUUGACCCGUAAUCCGGGUUGCGGACAGUGUCUGGUGGGUAGUUUGACUGGGGCGGUCUCCUCCUAAAGAGUAACGGAGGAGCACGAAGGUUGGCUAAUCCUGGUCGGACAUCAGGAGGUUAGUGCAAUGGCAUAAGCCAGCUUGACUGCGAGCGUGACGGCGCGAGCAGGUGCGAAAGCAGGUCAUAGUGAUCCGGUGGUUCUGAAUGGAAGGGCCAUCGCUCAACGGAUAAAAGGUACUCCGGGGAUAACAGGCUGAUACCGCCCAAGAGUUCAUAUCGACGGCGGUGUUUGGCACCUCGAUGUCGGCUCAUCACAUCCUGGGGCUGAAGUAGGUCCCAAGGGUAUGGCUGUUCGCCAUUUAAAGUGGUACGCGAGCUGGGUUUAGAACGUCGUGAGACAGUUCGGUCCCUAUCUGCCGUGGGCGCUGGAGAACUGAGGGGGGCUGCUCCUAGUACGAGAGGACCGGAGUGGACGCAUCACUGGUGUUCGGGUUGUCAUGCCAAUGGCACUGCCCGGUAGCUAAAUGCGGAAGAGAUAAGUGCUGAAAGCAUCUAAGCACGAAACUUGCCCCGAGAUGAGUUCUCCCUGACUCCUUGAGAGUCCUGAAGGAACGUUGAAGACGACGACGUUGAUAGGCCGGGUGUGUAAGCGCAGCGAUGCGUUGAGCUAACCGGUACUAAUGAACCGUGAGG